AGGUUACUGCUAUCGGUGUUCGCAUAAGCCAUGCGAGUCAUAUGUUCUUCGUGAACAUGGCGUACUGCUCAGUAACACGUGGAUAACCUGCCCUUGGGUCCGGCAUAACCCCGGGAAACUGGGGAUAAUUCCGGAUAACGCACAUAUGCUGGAAUGCUUUAUGCGUCAAAUGGAUUCGUCCGCCCAAGGAUGGGUCUGCGGCCUAUCAGGUAGUAGUGGGUGUAAUGUACCUACUAGCCUACGACGGGUACGGGUUGUGAGAGCAAGAGCCCGGAGAUGGAUUCUGAGACAUGAAUCCAGGCCCUACGGGGCGCAGCAGGCGCGAAAACUUUACAAUGCGGGAAACCGUGAUAAGGGGACACCGAGUGCCAGCAUCAUAUGCUGGCUGUCCGGGUGUGUAAAAUACACCUGUUAGCAAGGGCCGGGCAAGACCGGUGCCAGCCGCCGCGGUAACACCGGCGGCCCGAGUGGUGAUCGUGAUUAUUGGGUCUAAAGGGUCCGUAGCCGGUUUGGUCAGUCCUCCGGGAAAUCUGACGGCUUAACCGUUAGGCUUUCGGGGGAUACUGCCAGACUUGGAACCGGGAGAGGUAAGAGGUACUACAGGGGUAGGAGUGAAAUCUUGUAAUCCCUGUGGGACCACCUGUGGCGAAGGCGUCUUACCAGAACGGGUUCGACGGUGAGGGACGAAAGCUGGGGGCACGAACCGGAUUAGAUACCCGGGUAGUCCCAGCCGUAAACGAUGCUCGCUAGGUGUCAGGCAUGGCGCGACCGUGUCUGGUGCCGCAGGGAAGCCGUGAAGCGAGCCACCUGGGAAGUACGGCCGCAAGGCUGAAACUUAA
rnacentral:rRNA from 1 species